GACGAACGCUGGCGGCGUGCUUAACACAUGCAAGUCGAACGGAAAGGCCCCUUUGGGGGUACUCGAGUGGCGAACGGGUGAGUAACACGUGAGUAACCUGCCCUUGACUUCGGGAUAACUUCAGGAAACUGGGGCUAAUACCGGAUAGGAAUCCUUGCUGCAUGGUGGGGGUUGGAAAGCUUCGGCGGUUUUGGAUGGACUCGCGGCUUAUCAGCUUGUUGGUGGGGUAGUGGCUUACCAAGGCUUUGACGGGUAGCCGGCCUGAGAGGGCGACCGGCCACAUUGGGACUGAGAUACGGCCCAGACUCCGACGGGAGGCAGCAGUGGGGAAUAUUGCACAAUGGGCGGAAGCCUGAUGCAGCAACGCCGCGUGCGGGAGGACGGCCUUUGGGUUGUAAACCGCUUUCAGCAGGGGCGAAGCUUGUGGUGACGGUACCUGCAGAAGAAGCACCGGCUAACUACGUG
rnacentral:rRNA from 1 species